GCUGGGAGCCAUAGACCUCGAAGCUGGGGCGUCUGACACCUGAGGCCCGAAGUAGGUGGCCAGCUUCUUAGAGGGCCAACCCAGGGCAUUAACACACCAGGUCAGAAAAAGCAAAAACAAAAACAAACAAAAAAUGAUAAUCUAUACCAAAAUAUGUUAUUACUUUAACACAAAAAUAUGAAAACUAGGUGUUUGAAAUUAUCUUUCCGUACUGUUUGCUUUUCGCUACAGAAAUGCUAUUAUUUAACAGAAUAUUAAUAGGAUUAAUAGUGGCAAUUAGACUAAUCACGUGUGAGAAAAAUAUAUUUCUGUCCUCUGAUACAGGAAUUUUAAGUUUCUAUUAAAUAUUUAAAUUUUGUGGGUUCUAUCUAAGAUGCUAAAUGUAAGACCUUUUAAAAGGAGAAUGUAAAUAAGGCUAAUCAAACAGAUAUUAACUAUAUGUAAUAGGCAUUUAUCUUUCUGUCCCAUCAUACGUUUAGGAGAUAUUUACUCUUUCUGGUUCCUUUUCCAGUAACACCUCUCUGUAUUAGCUGCCUGUAGCCUUUAUGGCAUUCUUCUUUUGGUUUAUGUAAUGCUAAAACUGAAUACAGGCAAACGUGAAAUUCACCUUGACUGUCAGCUCCGCUUUUUGUUUGUUUUGUUUUUGUUUUGUUUUGAGACAGGGUCUCCCUCUGUCGCUCAGACUGGAAUGCAGUGGCGCUAUCUCGGCUUACUGUAACCUCUGCCUCCCAGGUUCAAGUGAUUCUCCCACCUCGGCCUCCAGAGUAGCUGAGACUACAGGGGCGCGCCACUACACCUGGCUAAUUUUUGUAUAUUUUUUGUAGAAAUGGGGUUUUGCCAUCUUGCCCAGGCUAGUCUCGAACUCCUGGGCUCAAGCGAUCCACCCGCCUCAGCCUCCCAAAGUGCUGGGGCAGUCCAAGGAGAGCCGGUGCUGCGGAGCAGCCCGAUUCCACUCAAAACCCUGCAGUCAUCCUCCAAGCCCAUGUGUGAUCUGAUUCUUCUGGUACACCAAGACAGGAACCCCGGGAUAUGAAAGCCCUCUGUCCUUGCGAUAACGCAGGGAUCUAAUUGAAUUGACUAACAUAAGCCGCCUGCGGACAGCUAAAGAGCAUCCUGUAACACGCCCACUGGGGCUUCAGCUAUAAACAUUCACCCCUAGACACUGCCAUGGGGUCAGAGCCCCACAGCCCGCCCGUCUGUAUACUCCCCUGGAGGUUUGAGCAGCGGGACACUGAAGAAGCGAGCCACACCCCCAUCGCACGCCCUGCCAGGGGGACAAGGGAACUUUUCUCUUAUCAACAUCAACCUAAGUAGCCUCGCAUCAAAAGCAUUUGACUGUCAAUAGUUAGGAUUUUCCCUACCAGCAGUAGCAAGUUUUUAGCCUUAUUGGAAUUAGUUUCCAGCUCUGCAAAAAUGUUCAUCUGCUUUGUAACUCCAGGCUUUUUUGGUAGAGCAGCUGUUUGUUGACCAGUCGCUUUGCCUCUGUAAGUUCACCAUAUAGGCUAUUCAUGUCUAAAGUGUUCAUUUUCAAACCCUCUGAAACUCAUUGGGUAUCUAUUACAAUGUCUGAAGACAAAUAUUUCAUUAACAAAUAAGAAGGUGAUAGACCUGGAGUGAGAAUCCACCCAAUUCAUGUCAAUCGGAGACAAAUUUGCAAUAUCCUGUGAUUCCUGAACUGGCUGUGGUCACUGAUCACUUCUGUCCUGGAGGAACUAGAGACAUUCAAGACAAAUAAGGACUCAUCUAGUCCCCUGAUUAAAGGACUUUUCAUAGAGGCUGCAUUAAGGGCCAAAUUAUGUACAAUGUGCUCUCUGAGAUGGGGAUGUGUAAAUAGCCGUCAAAAUGUCAUCUGGGCAGAAAUUUGUUUGGGAGGAUAAAUUUAUGUUCAGGGGUGAGGGGUGAAUACAAUAGAAAUUUGUAUUUUGCAGAGGGAAAUGUGGGUUCCAUGGUGGGUAGAAAUAAAAUAGAUUAGUAGAAUACUUAGAAUGUCAAAGAAAUUUUUAAAUCAUAGGGUUUUUUUUUUGAGAAAAUUUUUGAAAUGAUUUUGAAAUGAUUUAUUCAAAAAGUGCCCCUCAAAAGUGAUCACUCCAUAGAUGACAGCUAAGGAUCGCAAUCUUACUGCUAUGCCCUUGUGUUUUGAGUGAAGACUUGUGUGACUAUAGUGAGGGUCUAGGUGUUUAAUCGUCAGAGGUAAAUUGGAGAUUUCAGAUGAGGCUGUCUCAUGGAAGAGGGAGGAAGGAUACUCACAAACCCUACAGCUGGAAUCUGAGCAUCCAGUGGAAAAUGACAGUCCCUGAUCCCUCAGGAAACUUUCUCUGGCCACUGUCAGUGAUGUUCUAAUCUAGGAGAGCAGAACUUUCCCCCUUAUAAUGUUUCUCACUGCAUUUCCUGAAAUAUAUUUCGUCUAAGUUCCAUACGUUUAUCUGAAAAGAAUAACCACUUACCAAAUUGUGUUUCCAACUAGGAUAGUGGCCGCAGUUGUAUUAUCUUGUGCAUUUGUCAAGAGAGGUCAUCCGAACGCUGAGAUAAAGGCUUGGGAUUCCAUUGUCUCAUCUCUUUCUGGGAGUGAUUUUCCUCUCAUCUGGAAGUGCAGAGACAGAGUCUUCAUAGGGAACUGAGAUUACCUCCAAAAAACAUUUGUGAAGUGAGCAAUUCCUAGAAGGCUGUUAAUGUUGAUUAAUGAAAUUAUACAAAAAGAAUCAUAAGAUAGCUGGAGAAGAAAAUUAUCUGUGAUGCCUGGAAAAGAUACGUCCCAGUGGGAGGUAAGUACAGAAUCCUGAGUUCUGAGAUGUGAGGAAUUCAGUUGAGGUAAUGGUUCUACUAUAAUUGUGGCUACCAUUAAAUUUUUGUUUCUUCAAAUUAUGAUUUAUUUCUCUUCCUGAUAACAUUGAACAAUCAUAAAUGUGGAGGGAAAGGAAUCAUUGAGGGUUGAUUUAGAGAGAGUAAACAGGUGUAAAGCCAUGGUUCCUGUGUGUUUUAACAAAUACUAACUGAGCACCCGCCCUGUUGCAGAUGCAUUUCUAGAUGUGUGAACAAAGAAAUUUAUCUACCUUAAUUUGAAUUGAGAGAAGCAGACAAUAAAUAAUAAAGGAAAUGUUAUAAGUUA
rnacentral:lncRNA from 10 species